AUGUUAGCAUAUAAUUAGAAUUAAAGUAAAGAUUAUAGUGAGGGAAUAUGGUUAAAUUCCAUAGCAGCCCCCGCUACUGUAAGCAUGGACGAUUGAUAUAAUAUGCCACUCAAAAUGUUUGGGGAAGGAAUAUCAAGAGAAUGAUAUGUAAGUCAGGAUAUCUCAUAUAAUCUUCUAAUCUAU
rfam:Clostridium fallax strain DSM 2631 genome assembly, contig: Ga0131101_110